UAAAAAGAGCUGGGGAUGUAGCUCAGUGGUAGAGUACUACUGGGUUUAGUCCCUGGUACUGCAAAAAUUUUUGAAUAAAUUUAAAAACACUUAAAAGGUCUUAUUUCUAGUGAAAAAAAAGGGGGAGUAGGUUCUGAAUUGGGAUGGGGUAGGCCAGAUAGCCUUAUAUAUACAAGACAAAGAGAAAGUCACAAGCCUCUACAUAACAAAAUGAGAAUUAUUUUUCAGUUUGGUAAACCAAAUAACAGGAAAAACAAAGUAGAGGAAGCCCCUAAGAAAUCCCCUGUUGGGAUAAUAGGGAGGUAGGAUUAUGUGAACAUUAGCCAAUAACAAGUUUAUCUUUGCUUAUUUAAGUGGGAUGCACCAGGUUUUUGUAAGGUGAGUCUGACAGCUUUGGGAUGAUGGUAGCAGGAAGCCAUAAUCCAGAGCCCAAUACAUCAAGUAGAAGCAGAUGCUUCAGGACCUCACUAAGUUGCUGAAGCUGACUUUGAACUCGCCAUUCUCCUGCCUCAGUAUCCUGAACCACUGGGACUGCUAAGGACAAUAAUAACCGAGUCACUUGUUUUGAAGUAUCCUAUAUGUAAACAUACAAAGCUGCAAUUUCCAUUACUGAUCCCAUCCAACAUUUGAACUCUGGAACAUUUUUGAAAUGCCAUGAAUUAUGGUGGUGAAGCAAGAAAAGGAGCUGAUGGAAUCUAAGGGAAAUUAUUCUCUGAAAUCUACCUCUAAAAGAUUAUAACAUUACGUUUAAAAAAUGAUUUGAAGAUUAAAACACCAAAGUUGUAAA